AGUGAACGCUGGCGGUAGGCCUAACACAUGCAAGUCGAACGGCAGCACAGUAAGAGCUUGCUCUUACGGGUGGCGAGUGGCGGACGGGUGAGGUAUACAUCGGAAUCUACUUUUUCGUGGGGGAUAACGUAGGGAAACUUACGCUAAUACCGCAUACGACCUACGGGUGAAAGCAGGGGAUCUUCGGACCUUGCGCGAUUGAAUGAGCCGAUGUCGGAUUAGCUAGUUGGCGGGGUAAAGGCCCACCAAGGCGACGAUCCGUAGCUGGUCUGAGAGGAUGAUCAGCCACACUGGAACUUAGACACGGUCCAGACUCCUACGGGAGGCAGCAGUGGGGAAUAUUGGACAAUGGGCGCAAGCCUGAUCCAGCCAUACCGCGUGUGUGAAGAAGGCCUUCGGGUUGUAAAGCCCUUUUGUUGGGAAAGAAAAGCAGCAGGUUAAUACCCCGCUGUUCUGACGGUACCCAAAGAAUAAGCACCGGCUAACUUCGUG
rnacentral:rRNA from 1 species